AACGCACCUUGCGCUCCUUGGUAUUCCUUGGAGCAUGCCUGUUUGAGAGUCUUGAAUAUCUCUGCUCUUAUUUUUUUUAAUUAAGAAAUAACGAGUCAGGUCCUUGGGCCUGCUUGCGGUUUGGUUACAAACACAAGCUUGCCUUAAAUGAAUUAGCUGAGCUUCAGCAGAGUUGUUAAGUAACAUUGAAAACUCUCGUAAGAAGAAGCUUGCUCUCUAAUCUUUGUCGUCUUUUGUGGACGAUAAUAUUUUCUAUUUUGGCCUCAAAUCAGGUAGGACUACCCGCUGAACUUAA
rnacentral:misc_RNA from 1 species